rnacentral:pre_miRNA from 1 species
UCUUACAGAUGAGCAAAGAAAGUAGUUUCUUGAGAUAGAAUCUACAUCUGGUGAAGAUGCUGUGAA